rnacentral:misc_RNA from 2 species
CACCACUCCAGCCUGGCUGGGUGUUGGGUGCCGCGGGUCCCCCGCGCGCCUUAAAGUCUUUCCGGCUGAGCGACCCGUCUCCAAGCGUUGUGGCAACUAUUCGCGGCGAGAUGCGGUGGCGGCGGCCGUUAAAUCUUUUUUCACA